rnacentral:rRNA from 1 species
GACCCCGCACAAGCGGCGGAGCAUGCGGCUUAAUUCGAUGAUACCCGUAGAACCUUACCAGGUCUUGACAUCCCUUGCAAUGCUGUAGAGAUACAGUGGAGGUUAUCAAGGAGACAGGUGGUGCAUGGUUGUCGUCAGCUCGUGUCGUGAGAUGUUGGGUUAAGUCCCGCAACGAGCGCAACCCUUAUUGCUAGUUGCCAUCAUUUAGUUGGGGACUCUAGCGAGACUGCCAGUGAUAAACUGGAGGAAGGUGGGGAUGACGUCAAAUCAUCAUGCCCCUUAUGACCUGGGCUACAAACGUGAUACAAUGGCUAUUACAGAGGGCCGCAAAGCUGUGAAGUGAAGCUAAAACCCUUAAAAAUAGUCUCAGUUCGGAUUGAAGUCUGCAACUCGACUUCAUGAAGCCGGAAUCGCUAGUAAUCG